rnacentral:rRNA from 1 species
AUUGAACGCUGGCGGCAGGCCUAACACAUGCAAGUCGAACGAGUGGCGGACGGGUGAGUAAUGUCUGGGAAACUGCCUGCUGGAGGGGGAUAAAUACUGGAAACGGUAGAUAAUACCGCAUACCAUCGGAUGUGCCCAGAUGGGAUUAGCGAGUAGGUGGGGUAAAGGCUCAACAAGGAGACGAUCCCUAGCUGGGCUGAGGGGAUGACCGGCCACACUGGAACUGAGACACGGGCCAUACUCCUACGGGAGGCAGCAGUUGGGAAUAUUUGACAAUGGGCGCAAGCCUGAUGUAGCCAUGCCGCGUGUAUGAAGAAGGCCUUCGGGUUGUAAAGGUCUUUCAGCGGGGAGGCGUUACCCGCAGAAGAAGCACCGGCUAACUCCGUGCCAGCAGCCGCGGUAAUAC